GGGGGAGAGAGAAUGGGGGAAAUAAUGAUGAUGACGGUGAGGGGCCAUGAGCCGAAACAAAGGCAGAAUGACAAAAAAAGAAGAUCAUGGAAGCUGGGCCGUGAUUUAUGCCCUUUGGUGUCCUUGACUCUUCCGGCCUCCUCGCCUCUGGUGGUUGCAGCUGUUCAUGGUGACUGCUGAUGUUCCUUGCACUCCUCUGUUGACCUUCAUGACAACAUAAACAGACACACAGAGAUAAGCAAGCUCAUGGCUGGAAAUAGAACAUAUAGAGGAGAGCUACAGAAACAAGGAGAAAUGGACAAUUAUAAAGAAUGCAUACAGCAUAAUAGAGGAGGUGAUGAGUUGAAAUGAUCGGAGACAAGAGACAUGUUUAUGACAUUCCGUUACAUAUAGAAAACACUGCUUUGUUUCUGGGAGAUCAAUGUCUGGAUUAGCAGAAGUGACAGAUAUGAAAUAGAAAUGGGAAAUUUCAUUGUAUGCUGCUAUCUGGGAAAUGGAUUUUGUGA